GCACUUCAUUGACUUUGGGCUUGUCCAUGGGUCUUGCUUUGAACAAACGAAUGACUUCAUGGCCGUUCCUAACAGAGGCUCUUACGGCACUGUGCUGGGAGCCACCUGUGUUCCUGCUUCCCCUGGGGCUCCUGCCAUCUGUCAUGAGGAGGCCCUGGGUGCCUGAAUAGUAGACACCUGAGACAAACCUGAGCUUGACCUAGAGCCUGGAGCUGAGCCCAACUGAGGUUGAGCCCAGCUGACCCACAGGCCCAUGUGCAAGAAAUAAAUGUUUGUUAUUGUAAGCCAGUAAGAUGUCUGCACUUUUCCAACCCCUCCCUCCCCACAUUCAACCAAGACUUCUCCCAUUACCUGAAAGCCAGAAGUGUGCCUGCCCAGGGUUUUGCUGCUCUAUCUUUACAAACAUCAGCCUUCAGAAUAAAAUCAUGAGAAGCUCAUUUGGAGGGAACACUUCCGAAAACGUACUGCCUGAACCUCAAAAUCUCUUCUGGUGUAUUCAAACUCAGGCACAGAAGUCAUUCAGGAACUGAGACUGAAGUUGAUUUAGCCGGGUGUCUGAAUUAGCCCCCAAACCACAUCAUUCUUAUUCUGUAUAUAAAUUCAGGCCAUUAGAAGGUGUGUGUGUGAGAGAUGGAAAUGGUAGAAGCAUAUGGCCUUCUGGGCUCUUCUCAUUCUGACUGCUGUUGGAGUGUGUGGUCCAUCUGGCCUUCCAAUAUUUGUGGUGCUGGCUGAAUGGAAGAAUGUAUAAGGUGCCACUUGUACCCUUUCCCCAAUACUUUGGCCACCUGAUGUGAAGAAUUGACUCAUAGGAAAAGACCCUGAUGCUGGGAAAGAUUGAGGGCAGGAGAAGAAGGGGACGACAGAGGAUGAGAUGGUUGGAUGGCAUCACCGAC